rnacentral:rRNA from 1 species
AUUGAAUGCUGGCGGCAUGCCUUACACAUGCAAGUCGAACGGUAACGGGCCUUCGGGUGCCGCCGAGUGGCGAACGGGUGAGUAAUACAUCGGAACGUGCCCGAUCGUGGGGGAUAACGAGGCGAAAGCUUUGCUAAUACCGCAUACGAUCUACGGAUGAAAGCAGGGGACCGCAAGGCCUUGCGCGGACGGAGCGGCCGAUGGCAGAUUAGGUAGUUGGUGGGAUAAAAGCUUACCAAGCCGACGAUCUGUAGCUGGUCUGAGAGGAUGAUCAGCCACACUGGGACUGAGACACGGCCCAGACUCCUACGGGAGGCAGCAGUGGGGAAUUUUGGACAAUGGGCGCAAGCCUGAUCCAGCCAUGCCGCGUGCAGGAUGAAGGCCUUCGGGUUGUAAACUGCUUUUGUACGGAACGAAAAGCCUUCUUUUAAUACAGGAGGGUCAUGACGGUACCGUAAGAAUAAGCACCGGCUAACUACGUG